rnacentral:rRNA from 1 species
GACGAACGCUGGCGGUGUGCUUAACACAUGCAAGUGGUGCGACGAACCAGGCUUCGGCCUGGGGCAAAGCCGCGAACGGGUGAGUAACACGUGGGUAAUCUGCCCCAAUGACCGGGACAACCCGAGGAAACUCGGGCUAAUACCGGAUGUGGUGCACAGGCAUAAGCCUGUGUACUAAAGGUAGCUUCGGCUUCCGCAUUGGGAGGGGCCCGCGGCCCAUUAGCUUGUUGGUGGGGUCAAGGCCUACCAAGGCAACGAUGGGUAGCUGGUCUGAGAGGACGAUCAGCCACACUGGGACUGAGACACGGCCCAGACUCCUACGGGAGGCAGCAGUGGGGAAUCUUGCGCAAUGCGCGAAAGCGUGACGCAGCAACACCGCGUGAGGGAAGACGGCCUUAGGGUUGUAAACCUCUUUCAGAUGGGACGAAGGUUCAGCGGUGAAUAGCCGACUGAA